CACGGAAUCUUCGUUGCGGCAUUCGGGAUCUAGUACCCUGACCAGGGAUCGAACCUGGACCAUCUGCAUUGGGAGCAUGGAGUCUUAACUGCUGGACCACCAGGGAAGCCCCUCCCACAUUGAUUUAGACCACCCACUUCUGCCAUCUUUGCACUGCAGCCAAAGUGAUCUUUAUAAGGGAGAAACUUGAUAUGCCCAAGAAUAAAACCAACUUGAAGAAUGAUAUGAACUGUUUAGAAGUGCUUUCCAAACCUCGUUCCAGAUUUGGGGACUGAAGAUGCAAAGGAAAUGGCUUUUACCGCAUUUCACUUCAGAUGAUGCGAUCGAGGCUGGAUGUUUCCUCUGCCCUGUUAGCUACUGUACUGGCUGAGCUCUGCAAGCUUCCUUGCUAGGAGAAAGGGUCAACUGAGCAUGAUUUUGGCAUGAUUAUUUCAACCAAUCAAUACUCUGAGAAGAGCAACCCUUCUAAAUCAUGAG